UGGGGAUUAUUGGACAAUGGGGGGAACCCUGAUCCAGCCAUGCCGCGUGUGUGAAGAAGGCCUUAUGGUUGUAAAGCACUUUAAGCGAGGAGGAGGGUACUGGUAUUAAUACUACCAGGUACUGGACGUUACUCGCAGAAUAAGCACCGGCUAACUCUGUGCCAGCAGCCGCGGUAAUACAGAGGGUGCAAGCGUUAAUCGGAAUUACUGGGCGUAAAGCGCGCGUAGGUGGUUCGUUAAGUUGAAUGUGAAAGCCCCGGGCUCAACCUGGGAACUGCAUCCAAAACUGGCGAGCUAGAGUAGGGCAGAGGGUGGUGGAAAUUCCUGUGUAGCGGUGAAAUGCGUAGAUAUAGGAAGGGACACCAGUGGCGAAGGCGACCACCUGGGCUCAUCCUGACACUGAGGUGCGAAAGCGUGGGGAGCAAACAGG
rnacentral:rRNA from 1 species